rnacentral:rRNA from 1 species
AACGAACGCUGGCGGCAUGCCUAAUACAUGCAAGUCGAACGAGACCUUCGGGUCUAGUGGCGCACGGGUGCGUAACGCGUGGGAAUCUGCCCUUGGGUUCGGAAUAACGUCGGGAAACUGACGCUAAUACCGGAUGAUAUCGAAAGAUCAAAGAUUUAUCGCCCAGGGAUGAGCCCGCGUAGGAUUAGCUAGUUGGUGGGGUAAAGGCUCACCAAGGCUACGAUCCUUAGCUGGUCUGAGAGGAUGAUCAGCCACACUGGGACUGAGACACGGCCCAGACUCCUACGGGAGGCAGCAGUAGGGAAUAUUGGACAAUGGGGGCAACCCUGAUCCAGCAAUGCCGCGUGAGUGAUGAAGGCCUUAGGGUUGUAAAGCUCUUUUACCCGAGAUGAUAAUGACAGUAUCGGGAGAAUAAGCUCCGGCUAACUCCGUGCCAGCAGCCGCGGUAAUACGGAGGGAGCUAGCGUUGUUCGGAAUUACUGGGCGUAAAGCGCACGUAGGCGGCGAUUUAAGUCAGAGGUGAAAGCCCGGGGCUCAACCCCGGAACUGCCUUUGAGACUGGAUUGCUAGAAUCUUGGAGAGGCGGGUGGAAUUCCGAGUGUAGAGGUGAAAUUCGUAGAUAUUCGGAAGAACACCAGUGGCGAAGGCGGCCCGCUGGACAAGUAUUGACGCUGAGGUGCGAAAGCGU